CUCAGUCCAAAAACCAAACCCAGACAUUCCUCAAAAGCUUCAUUAAGACACUACUCACAGCUCUGUUUCUGCUGAAGACUAGAAGUCUCCAGAUGCACUCUCAAGGAAAAAAAUAAGGGGUAUGAAAACUCAGGCUUUCCUCCCUCCUCUUCCCAGUGAAUCCAUACCCUCAUAACUCAUUAACAUCUAUUAUUUGUCCACAGUUUAACUACCAGACUAACCAUAAGCUAUAGUAAGAGAAAGGCUGUGAAUUAUCAGCUGAAGUGGUUGA